GAUGAAGAACGUAGCGAAAUGCGAUAAGUAAUGUGAAUUGCAGAAUUCAGUGAAUCAUCGAAUCUUUGAACGCACCUUGCGCCCUUUGGCCAUUCCGAAGGGCAUGCCUGUUUGAGUAUCAUGAACACCUCAACUCUUUAUGGUUUUCCAUGAUGAGCUUGGACUCUGGGGGUUUUGCUGGCUCACAGUCGGCUCCUCUAAAAUGAAUCAGCUUACCAGUGUUUGGUGGGUAUCAUGGGUGUGAUAACUAUCUACGCUUGUGGUUUUUCCACCAGGUAACCUUCAGCAGUGGAGGUUCGCUGGAGCUNAUAGAUGUCUCUCCUCAGUGAGGACAGCCCUUUGAAUGUUUGAUCUCAAAUCAGGUAGGACUACCCGCUGAACUUAAGCAUAUCAAUAAGCGGAGGA
rnacentral:misc_RNA from 1 species